UACGUAGGGGGCAAGCGUUGUCCGGAAUCAUUGGGCGUAAAGCGCGUGUAGGCGGCCCGAUAAGUCCGCUGUGAAAGUCCAGGGCUCAACCCUGGGAUGCCGGUGGAUACUGUCGGGCUCGAGUCCGGAAGAGGCGAGUGGAAUUCCUGGUGUAGCGGUGAAAUGCGCAGAUAUCAGGAGGAACACCAAUUGCGAAGGCAGCUCGCUGGGACGUAACUGACGCUGAGAC
rnacentral:rRNA from 1 species